CCUGUUCACCUUUUCCACCUUGGACACCCUGAAAGCGACAGUAAAGAGAGCAUGAAUAGAGAGUCUUUGAAUUCUGUUAGCCAAGGCAUGAUCCAUCAUCUUGCAAGUCCAAGUACACCAAGGUGUGGAGGCAUAGACUCAGGAUAGAUGGAUUUCCAUCAGGUGUGCAGUGACAUAUUGGAGAUCAGUUAUUAACGUGUGCUUGGUCAAAUCCAAACCUCCUGGGGGAAUCUGGUGACCGCUUCAGUGCAAUGGAGUGUCCAGCGCCCAGCAAACUUGCUCCGUUUCCCCAGGCUCCUUGAUUUGUCGGAUGUCUUCAGUGAGGGGUGCAGGUGUUCAGACAUCCCUGGCCAUUUAGACUGAUUCCAGUUUUACCAACCGUCUUGUAUGCGAGAUGCCCCUGGUGUCUGGACUGAAUACACGGGGGUAAUAAAUCUUA